GACGGUGGCAACGAGUCUGACCUUCUGGCCCGAAANNNUGGGGCAAACUGGUCAAUCACCGUCAUGACAGGGAUCGGGGCUUGGAAUUGUUCCCCGUGAACGAGGAAUUCCUAGUAAGUGCAAGUCAUAAGCUUGCGCUGAUUACGUCCCUGCCCUUUGUACACACCGCCCGUCGCUACUACCGAUUGAAUGGUUUAGUAAGGUCCUUGGAUUGGCGCCAUUGCAGCCGAAAGGCUCAGACGGUGCUGAGAAGACGACCAAAC
rnacentral:rRNA from 1 species